AUGGCCACGAACCCGAAAAAGACGGCGGCCAGCCUGGACCGCAGCAGCUGCGAUGGUGAUCUGGUCAGGAGGAAGAUUGGCAGUCGCGAUGGAAGGUCCAGCGGAGCUUUGGUCCAUGGCCAUGGCGUCCUGCACGGGGACGGAGAGAGGGAGAGAGAAAGGAGGAGGAGGGCGCUGGGCACGGCUGACCUACAAAGGAGGUUGGCGGCGGCUUGCAGGAGCGCAGGCGGCGACGGGAGGCAGGGUGAAUGGGGGGAAGCGCACGGGAGGAGGGAAGGGAGGAAAUGCGACGCGAGGUUUGCUGCUGAUUCAUGGAAUCGAUCCGGAAAUUAG
rnacentral:rRNA from 1 species